UGUUUAUUAAACAUUAUGAUUUGUGUUC
rnacentral:sRNA from 1 species